rnacentral:lncRNA from 1 species
CUGCCUUUUCUAGGGCCGCUCCCACAGCGUAUAGAGAUUCCCAGGCUAGGAGCCUAAUCAGAGCCAUAGCCGCCGGCCUAUGCCACAGCCACAGCAAUGCAGGAUCCAGGGCCGCAUCUGCGACCUACACCACAAGUCAUGGCAACGCCAGAUCCUUAACCCACUGAGCAGGGGCAGGGAUCGAACCCGCGACCUCAUGGUUCCUACUUCUUCAUAGACCCAUGCUCUCCUCUAGACACACAGCUUUUCUCUCCAUGCUCCCUUCCCCAGGGACCACCCCCAGGGGCACCCCAGCCCUGCUGAAACACAGAGAAGCGCUCAUAUUCACAGACACAGGAAUUGAGCAUGCAAAUCAGGGGCCUGCAAAUGUUCUCCGAAAAGGGCCAGGGAGUAUAUGUUUUAGAAUCUGCAGACCACUAGGAAUCUCCCUACUGCUACCACUCAACUCUGUCCCUUUGCUUAUGAGACCUAAGCAAAUGAGUGUGACUAUGUUCCAACCAGACUUAUCUGUGAUCUCAACAUUUGAACUGGAGAGCAUUCUCAUGCUACAAAACAUUACUCUUCUUUGGAUUUGGUUUCAACUGUUUAAAAACAUAAGCAACGUUCUUAGCUCACAGGCCAUAGCAAAAAGAGGUAGCAAGCCAAUUUGGCCAGUGGGCCAGAGUUUGCCAACUCCGACUUUAAAAUACCAUUAAUAGAUUUGUGAAAAUCACGUGAUUGGUGCCCACUGCAUCCUAGUGUGACAUAUGUACGGAGCCUACUCCUUAAAGGAUAUUGUGAUGACUUCAGCAAUGCAGACCUCUCAAUUCCCACCUCUGAUGUCAGGCAGAGGCCUGCUGAACAAUUAUAUGCUCUUCUGCCAUCAUUUUGCGGUUGUUAAAGUGUGGUUGAUUUACAAUGUGGUGCCAAUUUCUGCGGUACAGCCAAGUGACCCAUUGAUACAUAUAUAUACAUUCCCUUUCUUAUAGAAUCUUCCUUCAUGGUCCAUCCCAAGAGAUUGGAUAGAGCUCCCCAUGCUCCGUAGUAGAGCCUCACAGCCUAUCCAUUCUAAGUGUAACAGUUUGCAUCUGCCCACCCCAAACUCCCCAUCCAUCCCAACUCCCCUCCCCGCCUUGGCAACCACAAGACUCUUCUCCAUGUCUGUGAGUCUGUUUCUGCUUUGUAGAUAGGUUCAUUGUGCCAUAUUGAACCUCUGCAUAGAAGCUGGCUUUCUGGUUUUCCUGUGCCCCAGAUGGGGUCUCAUGCCAAAGGAGCCUCUCUCCUUUGCCAACAGGAGCCCCAGCGGCUCUCUCUGGCUGUCAGAGAUUUGGCCUCUGAGCCGGUUCCACUUGGAAGCUUUCUGACCACAGUUGUGCUCAGGAGGUUGAAUGUUGUAACAACAAUGACAGCGUCUGCAGAACACCCAAGAAGCCAGCCUCAUGUUUGCAUGCUGUCACCAUCCUGACAAAUAUUGCAUCGCAAAUCUGAGAACCGAUUUGAUUUACUGACAAGGCGACCCUCC